UCUCGCUUCCAAAACAACACACAUUCGUCUCCGUCGCACACCUCCACUUCACCACCAGUUCAUCGUCACAACACCUUCGGUCUCUACGCCGCGUUAUCCGACGACUAACUCCCAUCCGUCCGACGAAAACCUGCAGUAACUCUGUCGCAAUCCGCCGCCAAGAAGGUAAACUCAGAAUGGUUCAUGUCUGAUCUUCUCUGCUUAGCUUCUCACGUAUCUGAUUUGUUCUUGGUGUUUCAGACAAAUCCUUCUGCAUUGAAUGUUUUGAAGAGAUCAAAGGUUAGGCAGCUAGAUUCAAGCGGCGGUGGUUCUAUCCGCCGCCGAUCGCAGCCGUAUUUUAGGGUUUGUUUCUGUGAAUCAUAGUACAUAUAGUUUUAACUUUAUGGUUAUUAGUUUUUAUUUGAAAUCUUAACUAUCUUAGCAUAUAGACAUGUGAAUGUCCUGUAACCUUUUUGAAGAAUGACCAAGUUCAGUUAUCUUGAAUACAUUGAAACUCUUUAUUGAAAGAAAAGAAAGGCACAACACCGUCUCCAAAUUCUAGGAACACGCGAAUGUCGUCUUCACCAAGUGUUGGUUCAAAGACGAAGAGUUAUUCAAACUCAUAUAUGGCUUCACAACAUAAUUGUCCAAAUAGGGACACCGACAUAUCAUUUAAUAUACCAAGAGAACUUGGCCUUCUGGGAAAGAAAGCUAUACAGCAACGCGAAACCGCUCAGAAGAUUGCCCUUCAAGCACUUAGAGAAGCCUCAGCCA